ensembl:ncRNA Y7A9D.63 ncRNA
UAACUCAAAAUCGCAAGCCAGCUGCCACAAAAAAGAGUUGCCUGCGGCUGGAAUCGAACCAGCGUCGCCACGGCCACAACGUGGAGUACUAACCACUAUACUACGCAGGCCGAAAGUGCUGGUGCCAGGAGGAGUUUAUGAAUGCUGGGGCGCCCACU